rnacentral:tRNA from 1 species
GCGGUCAUCGUAUAAUGGGAAUACUUCAGCCUUCCAAGCUGAUGCUGCGGGUUCGAUCCCUGCUGGCCGCUCCA